rnacentral:rRNA from 1 species
CCUANGGGUGGCUGCAACUAGGAAUCUUUUGCAAUGGACGAAAGUCUGACAAAGCGACACUGCGUGAAGGAUGAAGGCCCUCGGGUCGUAAACUUCUUUUGAUUAUCAUAGCGAUAAUAGAAUAAACCCCUGCUAACUACGUGCCAGAAGCCUCGGUAAUACGUGGGGGGUGAGCGUUAUCCGGAUUUAUUGGGCGUAAAGCGUUUCGUAGGCGGUUUACCACAUCCUGUUUUAAAGCCUCCGGCUCAACCGGAGAUCUGGACAGGAGAUGGGUAGGCUGGAGGUAUAUCGGGGAUACUGGAAUUCAUGGUGGAGCAGUGAAAUGCGUUGAUAUCAUGAAGAACACCAAGGGCGAAGGCGAGUAUCUAGGUAUGUCCUGACGCUGAGGAACGAAAGCUAGGGGAGCGAAAGGGAUUAGAUACCCCUNUANUC